rnacentral:rRNA from 1 species
GAUGAACGCUAGCUACAGGCUUAACACAUGCAAGUCGAGGGGCAGCAGUUAGUAGCAAUACUGAGAUGGCGACCGGCGCACGGGUGCGUAACGCGUAUCCAACUUUCCGUACUCUGGGAUAGCCUUCCGAAAGGGAGAUUAAUACCGGAUGGUGUUGAAAAUUCGCAUGUUUUUCAACUAAAGAUUUAUCGGUAACGGAUGAGGAUGCGUACGAUUAGCUGGUUGGCGGGGUAACGGCCCACCAAGGCGACGAUCGUUAGGGGUUCUGAGAGGAAGGUCCCCCACACUGGAACUGAGACACGGUCCAGACUCCUACGGGAGGCAGCAGUGAGGAAUAUUGGUCAAUGGUCGGAAGACUGAACCAGCCAAGUAGCGUGAAGGAUGACUGCCCUACGGGUUGUAAACUUCUUUUGUUUGGGAAUAAAUGAUACUACGUGUAGUAUUUUGCAUGUACCUUACGAAUAAGCAUCGGCUAAUUCCGUG